UAAAAAAAUGUAAAAUGCCGGUGGUGGGGAAGUAACGUUGGGUAGCGUUGAUGAUACACAAGCCAAGCUCUGGGAGUGCGCGUGAUAUAUGAAGGUGACUGGAGUCAGAUUUGUUUCUGCUGGAGUGGACUUCACCAGCUACAAACGAAUACACGAGCUACAAACGAAUACAAGUGUGCACUGUCGCCUGAGGGUUCACGCGCUGCUGUUGACCCCAGAGAGGUUCAUUGGAGUGAGACAGUUGAACAUUUUAUGGUGGAGGAUUCAGACGAGCCAGAGCUUGGUGACUCACCGGUAGCCCUGCUGACAAUCGUUGGUGACAACACGGAAAAUCCAGUCCACUACAAUCCGGUCAAGAUCUCUGUCAUCCUGGAGAGUGAAGUUGUGGUGAUUGAUCUCCCCAGACUGCAGGAUGCUUUCCUGGUAAUGUUUGUUCUGAUCUAUGCUCUACAUCUCAGUUAUCCGAAAGAACUGUCCAACACGUUUGAGUUAAUUCAGAAAACCCUGCUAGGUUUAGAAGAUGGGGAACUGAAGCAAAGGCUACAGGCUCUGAAGAAAGAUUUGAUGAUACAUGUGUAGGCAUUGACCAAAUGCCUACCAUAAGCUGAUAACACUCUUUGUUUUUGUUUCAACAUAACGAGAUGUGGCUUAAGGUUGGAGUCUUAUUUUUUAGAUGACAUUGUGUUGGAUUCUGUAAGAAGUGUUAUGCUGAGCUGCUAGAAUACAGUACAAAAGAUUGUCAGAGUAUUUGUUUUGAAGUCGGAACAGAAAUCUUACAGGCCACCUACCACAAGUGCUUUACAUGGGCUUUUCCCUGAACCAUGCAGGUGGAAUUUGCAUAGAAUUCUAUUGUUGCGACUUCACUUUUGGUAUGAAAACAUACACUCCUGAGUCUUCACCUGUAAUGUACACUUAAAUGUAUUUUAUGUUUUUGUUUCCAUAGCAUUUGGUUUUAUGGUUAAUAUUCAUUUUGUUUUUAUUUAUAAGCUGUUUUAUCAGAUAAAGCUGACAUCUUUUGAGAAACUAUCCCAUGGUAAUGCCAUUACAGUAUGUUUUAGACUUAGAGCAACCUGGACACACAACGGUGUAUGUUCCAAUACUUUAGAUUCAAGAACUGUUUAAUAACACUGAUAUUCUAAGCUAAAUCUCAGAACCAAAUACUGAGCCAAGUCACUACACGUCCACAAAGAGUUUAGCCUGAGAACAAAAGCCAGCCAUGACUUUAAUGUACAAAAUGUUGUGCAAAGUGAUACUGUUGCGUCACUGCAGUAUUUCCACCCCAUCAUGGGUUUUUGAUGAUCUUUUAGAAGGUAUUGUGUCUGUUGAGCUGUCUCAAUUGAUAUUGGAAUUUCAGUUUACUUGAAAUAAUAAGCUGUUUUAUAAUCCCAAACUGACCUCAAAAUUAUUAUUUGUUGACAUAGUUGAAAAAUUGUUAUUGUUUAGGAAAGGAACCCCCAAAAAAUAAACUUGCUUUUACCCCCUAAUCAUCAUUACAAUACCACCUCCACCAGGGGUUGGGGUCAAUUCCAUUUCAAUUCAGGAAGUAAACUGACAUUUCAGUUCUAAUUUCAUCUCAUAGGAGGCAAUGAGGAAAAUUGGCAUUGAUAUUGAAAUGUUAGUUUACUUCCUGAAUUGAAAAGGAAUUGACCCCAACCAUGGUGGAAGUGCUACUGUAAAGUGUUCUCUUUAAAAGUGAACCUUUGCAGCAUGUAGGAUAAUAAUUGUAGGUCAUAGUGUUUCUUAGAUCUGCCAUGUUCCUUAACUUAUUAUUUCCUUGCUCAAAUGCAUUGAUAUUACUUUUUUUGGGGGGGGGCCAGAUAACCGGAUGCUUGUUCCUGACGCUGAGACUGCCUGCUGUUCUGUACCUUUUGGACUCUGAUCUGGAUUACUGACCUCUGCCUGCCCUUGACCUUGUCAUU